AAUCUGAAAUUCUAGGAUCCGAUAACAAUGCUGCUAGUUAGGAGGGUUAGAAUAUGGUAACUUGACUACAUUCUCUUCAUGGCAUAUUUAACUAUGAUGGACAACCCAACAGGUUUAAUUUGAUAGAUGUGCGAAUUUAUUUAAGCUUAAUGUACCUUUUUUCUCUUCACACCACUCUCGUGUAGAAACGCUGCAACUUCCUAUCUUAUUACUACAAGUGAAGCUUCAUUCAAGUUUUUCUGAUUUAGUAUCUGUGGUCGGGUGAAAAUAGCCAAUAGAAACGUUCUUGAGCUAGGAAAACAUACAGGUCAUACUAUAUUUAUGUGGUUAAGAGAGGAUAAGAGCAAGUGUGUUAAAAGUUUUGAGUCAAAUUUUGAAAAGAAAAAAACAAAAAGGUUUUACAUAAAGCCUGUAAAAGAAAGGAUUUUGAUAAAGUCUUUGAAUUGACUACUUUAGAUAGCUGGAAAAAGUG